CAAUUGACUGCGCUUGCGACACCGGCUACGGUGGAGACAGAUGUGAACUGGCUCCAAAGUGCACAGAUUCGAUGAAGUGUGAAAACGGUGGGACCUGUAAAGCUGACACCUCUGGUCAGCAUAUCUGUUUCUGUGCUCCGGGCUUUGGAGGGACCUGUGUGCUGACGUUUCCUGUGACAACAACCCAUGCCAGAAUGAAGCAUCCUGUGAAGUUGAAGACGGCUCCA